UAACCUGCCCAAGAGAUCGGGAUAACACCUGGAAACAGAUGCUAAUACCGGAUAACAACAGAUGAUGCCUAUCAACUGUUUAAAAGAUGGUUCUGCUAUCACUCUUGGAUGGACCUGCGGUGCAUUAGCUAGUUGGUAGGGUAACGGCCUACCAAGGCGAUGAUGCAUAGCCGAGUUGAGAGACUGAUCGGCCACAUUGGGACUGAGACACGGCCCAAACUCCUACGGGAGGCAACAGCA
rnacentral:rRNA from 1 species